CACAGCAUCGUCUGCACGCGCCUCACAUCACCUCCUAGUGCCCUGCCAUGCCUCACAGGGCACCACGCCACUUUGACUCUGAGCGGUCCAAGAUAUCAGAGGCACUCUAUAACUCACUCAGCAUCAUCUACCAAGUAUCAUCCACUUGAGAUAAUACGGUGGUAGCGGAGACGCAGCAUGGAGGGCCUUGCCACCCCAACUCUCCGCGGUCAUCAUUACCAAGUAGUGUUAUUAUAAUUAUCACGAGUAGUGUGAGAGAUAAAGCAGCAGCUGGUGAGAGAGAAGUGUGGCUCACCUGUACACACACCUGUCCUUCCCUCAGUGUGAGGAGCGUCAGCGGGCGAGCAGGACGGGCCUCCCCCACCGCCACAUUAUACACCAGAUAUGCUGCUCCGAAUUUGCGAGAAUCACCCAUCCAAUUGCGCCCA